GACGUAGGGGGCCAGCGUUGUUCGGAAUUACUGGGUGUAAAGGGUUCGUAGGCGGUGCGGCAAGUCGGGAGUGAAAUCUCUGGGCUUAACCCAGAGGCUGCUUCCGAAACUGCUGUGCUUGAGUGUGGGAGAGGCGCGUGGAAUUGCAGGUGUAGCGGUGAAAUGCGUAGAUAUCUGCAGGAACACCCGUGGCGAAAGCGGCGCGCUGGACCUCUUCUGACGCUGAGGCGCGAAAGCUAGGGGAGCAAACGGG
rnacentral:rRNA from 1 species